CUGCGCAGGCGCGGCUCCGGGCCGCCUCCCAGGGCGCACAGCGGCCUUGCUGCCGAGCCUUCCGUUCCCUGGGCCGCGCCGCUGCGCCCGCUGUGCGCCUCCCCGCAGCCCCGUCGCAGGAGCCCCGUCCGCUCACUCCUGUCCCCGGGGCCUCUACCACUUGGAGCCCGUGGAUGGCGCGAGGUUAUGGAGGCCGGGUGGCCCAGGCCGCAGGGUCCCCGCCCGGCCGGGCCCCGCGGGCAGCACCCACCCGUCAGGAAGUCGAAGAUGGCCAUGUCGAUGAUGUUGAGGAGGCGGCCGCUGCUGCUGUGCGGGUAGACCUGCUUCACCGUGUCGCAGUAAAGAGGGUUGACUUCCCACCUGAGGGGAGAACAGGGCCUGGGCUGCAGAAGCCCGGACGGCAAGGUGUCCGACCCGCAUCCAUGCCCCCCGGUCCUGCCCGGGCCGCCGGCAGCAGGCGCCCCCACCAGGACCUGGGCAAGGACCCGCGGGACCGGCAGACGCCCUGGGCGAGAAGGGGUGGGGCCCUUUCUCCGCGCGUUUCCGAGCAUCGCCUGGCUGGGCGCCGUACUGCCCGUGUGCCGCGAGGGCACCCGCUCCCUCUGCGGCCCCUCGCCCAGCCUCUCGGGCGCUUGCCCUCCGGUCUCCCGAGCCGCUCGCAGCCCCCCUGCCAGCCAUCCUCUGCCAUUUCUCUGCCACAUGGGCUCCUCCGCCUAGAACGCCCCCAGGUCCCUUUUCGUCUGAGGGGGGGGUCUUCCUCAGCCUUCACGAGUCCCUAAGGAUCUGUCACGUCCCCCAGAAAUUCUGGCCCGGUUACUCCUCUUCCCACCACGGUUGGGGUGGCUGGAUCGACGAGCCCAUUCAUUCAGUCACCUCGUAUUAACUGAGGACCUGCCCUGUGCCCGGGAGUGUGCCACGCCCUGGGGAACAACCGUGAGGUCCCGGCUUCACGGCGUGGACUCAGCAAACCCGGCCCCUCCCGCGGCCUCCCCGUGGGCAUCUCUGCGGGACAGCAGGUGGGCACUGCGUUCUCACAGCCUGGCUACCGUCUGCCGCCCCGCUGGACCGCAGAGCUUCUUGAAGGGACAGCCCAGGUACGGGCACUUGGCGAAGAAACACACGUUGCUGGCUAGAGGCGGAGAAGGAGAGCGGAUUUCCUUGGUGACAUUGACUAGCCUCCCUACGGUCGGUGGUACCCGUCGGAAGUCCAGAAUCCUGAAAGAGGGGGAGCCCAGUUCACAUCUGGGGGAUGAUCGCCCAUUAGAAACGGACCUGCUGCGAAUUCCCGGGCGGUCCAGUGGUUAGGACUCCGCGCUUCCACCGCAGAGGGCACAGGCCUUGUGGGGCUUCCCUGGUGGUGCAGUGGUGAAGAAUCCGCCUGCCAAUGCAGGGGACACCGGUUCGAACCCUGCUCUGGGAAGGUCCCACAUGCUGCGGAGGAACUAAGCCCGUGCACAACUUCUGAGCCUGCAUGCCUUAGAGCCCGUGAGCUGCAACUGCUGAGCCUGUGAGCCGCGACUACUGAGCCCGUGUGCCACAACUACUGAGCCUGCGCUCCAGAGCGCAUGAGCCACAACUACUGAAGCCCGCGCGCCUAGAGCCCGUGCUCCGCAACAAGAGAAGCCACCGCAUUGAGAGGCCCCCGCUCGCUGCAACUAGAGAAAGCCCGUGCACAGCAACAAAGACCCAACACAGCCAAAAAUAAAAUAAAUAAGUAACAAA